rnacentral:misc_RNA from 1 species
GUGAAUCAUCGAAUUUUUGAACGCAAAUUGCACUCUCUUCGGAGAGUAUGCCUGUUUGAGGGUCAGUAUUAAUAAAAAUCGGAUUGUUGCUGCUUUGUGACGCUCCGGAGUGGGGGUCAUCUUAAUAUCCUUUAUGUUGGAAGUGGCGUAAAAUUGACUUUUUUUUCUCAUUUUAGAUGUGCAUAAAUGCUUUUUUUUAUUCGUCGUUCUUAAUGCUCAAAAUCCUAUUAGAUGCGACCAUAUCGUGUGG